rnacentral:rRNA from 1 species
AUUGAACGCUGGCGGCAGGCCUAACACAUGCAAGUCGAACGAGUGGCGGACGGGUGAGUAAUGUCUGGAAAACUGCCUGAUGGAGGGGGAUAACUACUGGAAAAGGUAGCUAAUACCGCAUACCAUCAGCUGAUCCCAGAUGGGAUUAGCGUGUUGGUGGGGUAACGGCUCACCAAGGCGACGAUCCCUAGCUGGUGUGAGAGGAUGACCAGCAAAACUGGAACUGAGACACGGUCCAGACUCCUACGGGAGGCAGCAGUGGGGAAUAUUGCCCAAGGGGCGCAAGCCGGAUGCAGCCAUGCCGCGUGUAUGAAGAAGGCCUUCGGGUUGUAAAGUACUUUCAGCGGGGAGGCGUUACCCGCAGAAGAAGCACCGGCUAACUCCGUGCCAGCCGCCGCGGUAAUAC